AUUUUAUGGAUUUUUUUUUUUUUUUAGUCCUAAUAAGAGAAUUUAAUACCAAAUAGCCUUUACUAUCAUUGUUUUGUGAUGAAGCAAUCACGCUGAGGACAUUACCAGGCGUAGGUCCUUGAAACUUUUUCCGUGCUUUCUAUCAUGCUGAGCAUUUUGGACGCACAAGAAGAACGUCAGAGACUGUCGCAUUGUUCGAAACGCUGCCAAAUCCAACUGGCGGCGAGUUUGAAGAGCAGAGAUGCUCUCGGCGCGGCUGUUUGCUGAAGCUUUCAGAUGCCAGCUGCUGCCACCGUCUCUGCUAUGGUCUCAACACGGCAUCCUCCGGUAUGGAGAACAGUGCUGAAGUGGCUGCCGGCAGAAAAGGAGACAUGGAGCGCUUGGCCAGGCGGGCAUCAAUCAAUGCUGUCAAUGCGUAAUCAUAAGAGAUGCUCAAGGCUUCAUUAGCCCUCCGACAGUUCUGCUUCAUAUCUGGCAACCUAGGACUGAAGAUGGUGACUGUCUUUCGGUCGUGGAUGAAAGUGCAGGGGGAAAAGAAGCUCGGCGAUAUGCACUGUGAGAAGAAGUGGCAUCGGUUGCUAGGGAACAAGACAUAAAAGUCGAUAACCGCCGUCUGAGCUCGGGCCAUCGCGCCUUCCUGAACCUGAUGGGAAAAUUCCAGCGGUUGUCUUCGUGUUGCUGCCGCAAGGGAGCGCAAUGUCCCUAUGAGGACAUCCUGAUCCCCGGAGGAAAUCGAUGAUGCGAGCAGGGAGAGGACGAUAAACAGAGAUGCUUCCGACUGACUUGUCGCUCGAGCAAGAGCCCUCGCUCAAGUGAAGUUUUAAGUCUGACCGUCACUGGCAUCCGUCCGCUGCAUCUCAAAGGCUCUUUGACUCCACUCGUCCUCACGUUCGUCCCGCCGCCUCACUUCCGCCGCGUCGCUGUCCCCGCCCUCCCAGGACACCUUGUGAGCGGGGCUGUGCUGACUGAGGCGGUGGCAGGGGGAUGGCGGCGGCAGGUUGGUGGGCGCCACGCUGCAUACGGCCACACCCCGACGGUUGCUGUGCACGUUGGACGUGUCGGACAGGAAGCUGCUAAGCUGUCAACGAAAGACAAGAGCCGAGUGAGCAUUGGGUCUCACCAGCACCUGGGGAGGUCUCGUCAGGCCGCCGCCCACUUCACCGUCUCCUCCGACGCCCGCCUUCCCCGGCGAGUUGGACACACGCACCGCCUUGAACUCGAUGCCUUCUGCGCCCAUGCCGGUCUUGCGCAGCAUGUAGCUGGUCUCCGUAAUGGCCGACACGGCCAAGACGCCCGAGAGCCCCGCUGACGCCGCAGAGUCCUUCCGAAAUGGGAUCUUCUUUCGGAAGAUGACAAAGAGGAUGAGGAGCAGGACGAUGACAAAGCCUAGGACGCCGAUUCCAAUGAUCUCGCCGGGACCGACGUAUGACAGCGGCUGCGCCUGAGACAUGACAAAGAUGUUGACAAAGAUACUUGACACUGAGAUUGGCAGCUAGCACAGAUGAGUGACACCUGUUACAGAUCUUCACAUGCCAAGUAAUUGUCGUUUACACUGACUCAUACUGACGGUGGUUGCUAAUACAAUUAUUAUUAUUGCCUGUUAAUUUCCACGUUGGCCUCUUAAUAAGAUAGACAUGUUUAAAGUAAAAAGUCAAAUGCUUGGAUGGUUGGCGUGUACGUGUUUGCACCUGCGUGUCAUUGCCUAUGUUGCCGUCACCCGGCUCACCGCAGGCCCCAUCCUCGUAUCCGGGCGUGCAGUUGCAGUAGAAGGAUCCCGGCGUGUUGAUGCACUCACCCCCAUCCCCGCAGUCGGCCUGCUCACACUCGUCCACAUCCUCAUCGCAUCUGGAAAAUCAAAUAUCCUUUUUAUCAAAAAAUUACCAUUGCCAUGUGUGAGCAAGGACAGUAACAUAACAGGUUCUACCCGGAGUUCAGUUAAAAAAAAAAAAAAAAAAGGGCCUACACCAAUUCUUUUUCAGCUCUGGAAUUGUGUGAACAAGGGUAUGAACACACAGCGAGCUGAAAUUCCAACGGCAUCAUGGGGGGUGUUUCAUUUAUCAAUAAUGGCCUGUGCUGCGGAGAUGAAUUCAAGGUUUAAGACACUUUUAGCAGGCGAGCGUUUGGCGAUCCACCCCCCGCCAACGCGGGUGCAGGCUUCUCCUUUGAAAUGCGGCUCCCCACCGUCAGCCCCCCAGCGAGACUGUCGUUUUCUCAUUUGCAAUGACUUGGAGCACGCGCACACGUCUUCAGUUUCCUUGGCAUAGCAUAUUGUUUCUUUCUGAUUUGGAUGACAUUUGUUUGAUAUUUACAUACAACAGUUGUGCGGCAACACUUGGAAAUGUCAUCACGCUGAAUAAUAUCUGCUGAGUGGGCAUUUGCACCUGAUUGUUAUGCACUGAUAAACCGCUGCCUAGAACAAUUACAACUCUACUUGCUUAAUACACAUUUAAGCCGUCCACUCACUGAAUAUAAUUUUAGCAC